rnacentral:tRNA from 1 species
GCCUUCUUCGCGCUGUUGUGGGCAGCACGCUCGACCUGUAUUCGAGAGGUCCGCGGUUCGAGUCCCGGCGAAGGCA